rnacentral:rRNA from 8 species
UUAAAUUGAAGAGUUUGAUCAUGGCUCAGAUUGAACGCUGGCGGCAGGCCUAACACAUGCAAGUCGAACGGUAACAGGAAGCAGCUUGCUGCUUUGCUGACGAGUGGCGGACGGGUGAGUAAUGUCUGGGAAACUGCCUGAUGGAGGGGGAUAACUACUGGA